rnacentral:rRNA from 1 species
AUUGAACGCUGGCGGCAUGCCUAACACAUGCAAGUCGAGCGGAUGAAGGGAGCUUUCUCCUGGAUUCAGCGGCGGACGGGUGAGUAAUGCCUAGGAAUCUGCCUGGCCUUGGGGGAUAACGUCCGUAAACGGGCGCUAAUACCGCACACGUCCUGAUAUAGAACGUGGGGGAUCUUCGGACCUCACGCUUUCAGAUGAGCCUAGGUCGUAUUACCUAGUUGGUUGGGUAAAGGGUUACCAAGGCGGCUAGCCUUAACUGGUAUGAGAGGAUGCCCUGACACACUGGAACUGAGAAACGGUCCAGACUCCUACGGGAGGCAGCAGUGGGGAAUAUUACGCAAUGGGCGAAAGCCUGAUCGAGCAAUGCCGCGGGAGGGAUGAAGGUCUUCGGAUUGUAAAGCACUGUAAGUUGGGAGGAAGGACAGUAAUUUUAAACAUGACGGUAUUGACGGUACCAACAGAAUAAGCACCGGCUAACUACGUG